UCCGACGUAGUCUAGUCGGCUAGGAUACAUGGCUCUCACCCAUGCGACCCGGGUUCGAUUCCCGGCGUCGGAG
rfam:Cryptosporidium muris RN66 scf_1106632373453 genomic scaffold, whole genome shotgun sequence.